rnacentral:rRNA from 1 species
ACGCUAUCACUCCUACGGGAGGCAGCAGUAGGGAAUUUUCCGCAAUGGACGAAAGUCUGACGGAGCAAUGCCGCGUGAGUGAUGAAGGUUUUCGAAUCGUAAAGCUCUGUUGUAAGGGAAGAAUAGCAAGAAUAGGAAAUGAUUCUUGUCUGACGGUACCUUACCAGAAAGCCACGGCUAACUACGUGCCAGCAGCCGCGGUAAUACGUAGGUGGCAAGCGUUAUCCGGAAUUAUUUGGGCGUAAAGCGCAUGUAGGCGGCUUUUAAGUCUGAUGUGAAAGCCAGUGGCUCAACCACUGAAUUGCAUUGGAUACUGGAAAGCUAGAAUCUUGGAGAGGUAAGUGGAAUUUCAUGUGUAGCGGUGGAAUGCGUAGAUAUAUGAAGGAAUACCAGUGGCGAAGGCGGCCCCUGGACAAAGACUGACGCUCAGAUGCGAAAGCGUGGGGAGCAAACAGGAUUAGAUACCCUGGUAG